UGAUUUUCCGGUUGACCCUGCCGGAGGUCACUGCUAUUGGGAUUCGACUAAGCCAUGCGAGUCGAGAGGGUUCGGCCCUCGGCUGACUGCUCAGUAACACGUGGAUAAUCUGCCCUAAGGUGGAGGAUAACCUCGGGAAACUGAGAAUAAUACUCCAUAGGUCUAAGAUACUGGAAUGUUCUUAGGCUGAAAACUCCGGUGCCUUAGGAUGAGUCUGCGGACUAUCAGGUUGUAGUCAGGGUAAAGACCUGACUAGCCUAUGACGGAUAUGGGUUGUGGGAGCAAUAACCCAGAGAUGAUAUCUGAGACACGAUAUCAGGCCCUACGGGGCGCAGCAGGCGCGAAAACUUCACAAUGCGCGAAAGCGCGAUGAGGGAAUCCCAAGUGCUUGCACGUAAGUGGAAGCUGUUUCUUUGUUUAAAAAGCAUUGAGAGUAAGGGCUGGGUAAGACGGGUGCCAGCCGCCGCGGUAAUACCUGCAGCUCGAGUGGUGAUCGUUAUUAUUGGGCCUAAAACGUUCGUAGCCGGUUUAGUAAAUGCCUGGGUAAAUCGUGCCGCUUAACGGUACGACUUCCGGGUAGACUGCUAAACUUGAGACCGGGAGAGGCUAGAGGUACUCCUGGGGUAGAGGUGAAAUUCUGUAAUCCUAGGGGGACCACCAGUGGCGAAGGCGUCUAGCUAGAACGGGUCUGACGGUGAGGGACGAAGCCCUGGGGCGCAAACCGGAUUAGAUACCCGGGUAGUCCAGGGUGUAAACGCUGCUUGCUUGAUGUUAGUCGGGCUCCGAGCCCGAUUAGUGUCGGAGAGAAGUUGUUAAGCAAGCUGCCUGGGAAGUACGGUCGCAAGACUGAAACUUAAAGGAAUUGGCGGGGGAGCACAGCAACAGGUGGAGCGUGCGGUUUAAUUGGAUUCAACGCCGGG
rnacentral:rRNA from 1 species